rnacentral:rRNA from 1 species
ACUCCUACGGGAGGCAGCAGUGGGGAAUAUUGGACAAUGGGGGAAACCCUGAUCCAGCCACGCCGCGUGAGUGAUGAAGGCCUUCGGGUUGUAAAGCUCUGUCGUGAGGGAAGAAGUUCUGACGGUACCUCACGAGAAAGCACCGGCUAACUCCGUGCCAGCAGCCGCGGUAAUAC